rnacentral:rRNA from 1 species
UACGAAGGGGGCUAGCGUUGCUCGGAAUCACUGGGCGUAAAGGGUGCGUAGGCGGGUCUUUAAGUCAGGGGUGAAAUCCUGGAGCUCAACUCCAGAACUGCCUUUGAUACUGAAGAUCUUGAAUUCGGGAGAGGUGAGUGGAACUGCGAGUGUAGAGGUGAAAUUCGUAGAUAUUCGCAAGAACACCAGUGGCGAAGGCGGCUCACUGGCCCGAUACUGACGCUGAGGCACGAAAGCGUGGGGAGCAAACAGG